UACGGAGGGAGCUAGCGUUGUUCGGAAUUACUGGGCGUAAAGCGCACGUAGGCGGCUAUUCAAGUCAGAGGUGAAAGCCCGGGCUCAACCCCGGAACUGCCUUUGAAACUAGAUAGCUAGAAUCUUGGAGAGGUCAGUGGAAUUCCGAGUGUAGAGGUGAAAAUUCGUAGAUAUUCGGAAGAACACCAGUGGCGAAGGCGACUGACUGGACAGUAUUGACGCUGAGGUGCGAAAGCGUGGGAGCAACA
rnacentral:rRNA from 1 species